ensembl:lncRNA
AUCUUUUUCUGGAGAUCCCUCCCUUUUGGAGUUUUCCAUUGUGAGCCUGGAUCCUCAGGGCCCUUAUGCUUAUUUUUAUGAUAAUUUUGCUUCCACUUUAUGACAUCAGGCUGAAUCCAGCUAAGCUCAGCCUGUAUCCUCUAUGGGGAGCACCUCACCUGCCUUCACCCCUCGAAACCUUCCAUGCUCUCUGAGCAUCAGGAGAGCAUCCCUUCACCUAGAGCCUUCACUGUAAUGGAAGAAAUGGCAGCUUGAAUACCAGCAUGAAGAUAUACCUUGCACCGUGAUCCAUGUGAGAGAAGUAACCAGAUAUUUUUUGGCUGCCAGCUUGGAAGUCCCUGCUGUCACUGAAGCAAUACUGAUAAGUCUUCUGGCAGGAAUUUUCUAUAUUGGUUUCCCUAACAAUUUUUUUUUCAACGAAAUUAUUGCUUCUUGUGUUUUGUGGAUAUUUUCCAUGCAUUCAUGACUCCAGGGAAAAUUCCUAUCCAUCAAGCCCAUUCAGUGUGCUACUGUAUUUUCCUUCUUUGUGUUUUGUUUCCCAAACAUAAACACUAAUAACAACUUCUGGGACUCAAAGGAAGGCUCCUAAGUUUUGUUUCAAAAUAGCAAGGAAAAAAAAUAAAAGCCAGAGUGCACUGACACAAAUUUGGGGUUUCUGUUUUAUCUAUGGGGGUGUUUGAAGGGGAGAAUGGUGGAUCUACAAAAGUUUGAUUCCAGCAGAUCUCUAACCUGUUUUGCUCUCUUGCUUUAAGUCUUUUUUCCCUUCUUCUUCCUUCCCCAUUCUUACUAAUACUGUUCUCUUUACAUGAGUAGCUUUUAUCAUUUUUCCUUUUCAACCAUUUAAUUGUUUUUUAAUUUCCUUUCUCCUUCUGUCGUUCCUUUUUAAUUCCGUUUUACCUUCCCAUCCUCUUCUCUUUUCCUUUUUCUCCUAGCUCUGCCCUUCUCUGUGGGAGCUGACACUUAUCCCCAAAUUAGUGCGAUAACACAGGAAAAAACCUUGUUUUCAGAAGCUCCCAUCAGUCUCAGGACAGGCAGUGCACUGGGCUAACGCCUUACUAAAUAUAACCCUUUUGUUUGGCAUAAGAUGGCUCACCCUGGUUCAGUGGAAUGGCUUUGUUUUAGGUGUAGAUAGUACAUCAGGGCUGCCUGGCAGGUGCAUCUUGCAGUCAGUGUCACCAAGCAAUAAAUUCUGUAAUUACAGGUCAUGGAGGUGGAGUUCUCCUUUGAUGUGACUUUUUUUGUUGUUGUUGCAAGCGGAUACAAUUUGCCUGAGAUAUCAAAUGCAGAUAGCAGUAAAAAUUUAAUUAACAAAUCAAAGCUUUUAUCUGGGGUUCUAAGAACUCAAGCCAACAGGUUUUUUCAAUUUAAAGACAUCACAGACAGAAGGACGAAGGCAGUGACUUUGUAGUAUAUUCAGCUUACAACCUUUUUAGUGAUGCUUGCAAAGAUAAAACUUUUUUAGCUGUUGCUUUUCAGUCUGGAGAAGCUUUUAGGUCUUCCUCAAAAGCAAGUAUGUUGUUCAUUGCCUGCCUUAUUUUCAUAAUUCUAACUUCACCGUGAGCACACAUUUCUCUCAUGGCUCUGCGGAUUACUUAUCAGGAGAAUGUGAGGAGCAGUCAGGCUCCACGUUCUUGCUGGUUAAUUCCACUUGCAGUGAACCACUUGCUCAUGAUAUCAAUUGGCCUAAACUGUGGGCAUGAUAUUUCUUCCAUGAUUCGCUUAUCUCCUUAAGAAUGAAAGCCUGGUGGAAAACUUGUCUCUUGGCUUCUUCAUAUGCAUAUGGGGAAGUUACUGUUUUCCUUUGGUGCUUUCCUAUCGUGCAGUCAUGAUUGAAAUAGCCAGGUCCAGAAACUGAGUGUCUGAGUCACAUUGCUCAUUCUGCUGGUAACUCCUGGGAGUUGGGGGAGCAGCAGUCUGCCCCUGUGUGUUGUGUGUGUGUACCUACUACUUACUGUCUAUGUACUGAACAUCAGGCAAAUGUGCAAGGAAAUCUUUUAAAAAUCCACAUACCC